rnacentral:rRNA from 1 species
CCUACGGGAGGCAGCAGUGAGGAAUAUUGGUCAAUGGACGAGAGUCUGAACCAGCCAAGUAGCGUGAAGGAUGACUGCCCUAUGGGUUGUAAACUUCUUUUAUAUGGGAAUAAAAUGUUCCACGUGUGGGAUUUUGUAUGUACCAUAUGAAUAAGGAUCGGCUAACUCCGUGCCAGCAGCCGCGGUAAUACGGAGGAUCCGAGCGUUCUCCGGAUUUAUUGGGUUUAAAGGGAGCGUAGGUGGAUUGUUAAGUCAGUUGUGAAAGUUUGCGGCUCAACCGUAAAAUUGCAGUUGAAACUGGCAGUCUUGAGUACAGUAGAGGUGGGCGGAAUUCGUGGUGUAGCGGUGAAAUGCUUAGAUAUCACGAAGAACUCCGAUUGCGAAGGCAGUUCACUGGACUGCAACUGACACUGAGGCUCGAAAGCGUGGGUAUCAAACAGGAUUAGAUACCCGAGUAGUC